GUGACACCAGUGAGUGAGUGGUGGCACUGGGCACAGUAUCCACUGUGAGCCUGACACACCCGCUUUGAGACAACUAACUGCUAUUCAAUCUAUAACAGUGAAAAAAGUUUUUGGUUUUAAAUGCACGCUAUUGUGACACCAGUGAGUGAGUGGUGGCACUGGGCACAGUAUCCACUGUGAGCCUGACACACCCGCUUUGAGACAACUAACUGCUAUUCAAUCUAUAACAGUGAAAAAAGUUUUUUGGUUUUAAAUGCAC